CCGUAGCGCGGUGGUCCCACCUGACCCCAUGCCGAACUCAGAAGUGAAACGCCGUAGCGCCGAUGGUAGUGUGGGGUCUCCCCAUGCGAGAGUAGGGAACUGCCAGGC
rnacentral:rRNA from 6 species